rfam:Nitrospirae bacterium GWD2_57_9 gwd2_scaffold_7712, whole genome shotgun sequence.
AGUCUCUUUAAGUCUGGUCCUGAGAGGCCAGGAAGGGUAUGACAUGAAAAAAAAUCAGAGCGGAACAUUGCUGAUUCAAGACGUGCGCACGACCUUCUUCCCGUUGGGGAGAAGGUUUUUUUGU